ACUACGGGAGGCAGCAGUGGGGAAUAUUGCACAAUGGGGGAAACCCUGAUGCAGCGACGCCGCGUGAGUGAGGAAGUAUUUCGGUAUGUAAAGCUCUAUCAGCAGGGAAGAAAAUGACGGUACCUGACUAAGAAGCCCCGGCUAACUACGUGCCAGCAGCCGCGGUAAUACGUAGGGGGCAAGCGUUAUCCGGAUUUACUGGGUGUAAAGGGAGCGUAGACGGAAUAGCAAGUCUGAUGUGAAAACCCGGGGCUCAACUCCGGGAGUGCAUUGGAAACUGUUGAUCUAGAGUGUCGGAGAGGCAAGCGGAAUUCCUAGUGUAGCGGUGAAAUGCGUAGAUAUUAGGAGGAACACCAGUGGCGAAGGCGGCUUGUUGGACGAUGACUGACGUUGAGGCUCGAAAGCGUGGGGAGCAAACAGGAUUAGAUACCCCAGUAGUC
rnacentral:rRNA from 1 species